CCCUUAUUAGCUAUACAUUGAUUUAAUCAUCAUGCAACCAUGAUAAUAAAAUUUUAAAUUAUCAUAAAUUUAUAAUUUAAUAAUUAAAAUUAAAAUUAUGAUUCAUAAAAAGUUAAAAAUAUUUUUUUGAGUUUGAAGAAUCGAUGCAAAAAUAAUACUAUAUUUUUGACAGGAUAUGAAUAAGAACAAUUUUAAGCUACUAUAUUGCACC
rnacentral:lncRNA from 1 species